rnacentral:rRNA from 1 species
AGUGAACGCUGGCGGUAGGCCUAACACAUGCAAGUCGAACGGCAGCACAGUAAGAGCUUGCUCUUACGGGUGGCGAGUGGCGGACGGGUGAGGAAUACAUCGGAAUCUACUUUUUCGUGGGGGAUAACGUAGGGAAACUUACGCUAAUACCGCAUACGACCUACGGGUGAAAGCAGGGGAUCUUCGGCCCUUGCGCGAUUGAAUGAGCCGAUGUCGGAUUAGCUAGUUGGCGGGGUAAAGGCCCACCAAGGCGACGAUCCGUAGCUGGUCUGAGAGGAUGAACGGCCACACUGGAACUGAGACACGGUCCAGACCCCUACGGUAGGCAGCAGUGGGGAAUAUUGGACAAUGGGCGCAAGCCUGAUCCAGCCAUACCGCGUGGGUGAAGAAGGCCUUCGGGUUGUAAAGCCCUUUUGUUGGGAAAGAAAAGCAGCAGGUUAAUACCCCGCUGUUCUGACGUUACCCAAAGAAUAAGCACCGGCUAACUUCGUG